AUAACAACGGACACAGAACAGAUCCUUGUGGAACCCUAAUGUGUUAUUUUUCUGGCAGCAAAGUGCCCAUCAUCAGCUAUCCAGGGACAGUGUCACCAGUGCUAUGGGAAUUGGAGAGUUCUGAGGGAAUACUGCCUCAAAAACGCUCUUACUUCAUACAAAAUAUAACUCAAAUGUUGUUUGCAAAAGAGCUGUCUUGAUGGGAAUUGUGGGCGGAAGGUAUCUUUCCCCAGAAAUUGCAAAAAAUGAAGCAUCUCCUUUGUCAAGCAGAUUUCUUUGCUGCCCAGAUACUGAUAUGGUCUGUGUCUCUUGUUUCCAAGCUUUCCAAACUACUGAAUACUCAUCUCCUACCGUUUGGAUCUGGGAGCCAUGCCUUGAGUCCUGAAGCUCCACUCUCCGAGGAUAGCGGGAAGCUCAGCCCAGCUUUCAAGUGUCACUGUGGCUGACUGCAGGGAGGGAGGAGUUGCCAGCUAGUCCAGCAAGGCUGCCUGAGCUCUUGCAGGGGCUGCCAGGAUGCAAUCCGAUGUUUAGAGCUCCAGCUCCUGUGCUGCUUUCCUUUGUGUCUACCCCGGGGAGGGGAAGUGCAAACAGACCGCUUCCUCUUGGAGGGCUUUCAAGCGGCUCCAAGGGAAGCACGUUAAUUUGCAGAGCACCAGGGAAUGUGGAGUGAGGGAUUCUCCCUCUGACAAUGAGGAUCCAUGUUCUCAAAGUUCACUGAGCACCUGGAAGUGGCAAAGACUGGAGACCACAUGGAAGAAACGAAUGCAGAAGGGAUUUCUCCCUGCAACGGCUGUAACAGGAUUGUACAGUGCUGUGGAUAUGGUGACACAGAGGGGUGUGUGGAUCUGCCUUUUCCUCCCAUUUCUUCUGCUUGAUAUUUGAUCUCGGUCCUUCGGGGGCUGCUGGUUUAUGGUGGUAAUAGGCACUGAAUAUUCACUGGUGUUUAUCUCUUCCAUUGGGCAGCUUUGAAUGAUCUCUGUGGGGAGGACACAGCAGCCAUAGACAGCUUUCUGGAACAACCUGUCGGUUCCGGUGCUGGGAGGAGCUGCUUGGAAUGAGGGCAGCUGCAGCUAAGUCAUCAGUACAUUUUCCCCUUGUUUACCCCCCCACGGCCUUGCUUCAUGAACACAGGAGGCAAAAGGGAGGACGUUAGCCAAGUAAUUAGCCUCCAAGCAUGGACUUGGUGGCAGACAAAAUAACUUUGUAAUAAUUCCCACCGUGAGUGUGCCUGAGAAUCCGUCCAGCCUUCCUCUGUACUAUGAAUUGCUGGGGUGUAAAGGCUCAAGUGGGGUGGCACCCCACUAACUUAAUACAGGAUUGAACAGUAGUGCUGCUCUGGGGAGAGACACAGAUUUCCCAACUUAACCUCCCAAGCCUUCUGUCUGCUCCCAAAGAGCAGUGUGGACAGAGAACUGACUGGGCUAGCUCAGACCUUUGAGGUGACUGUCUGGAUAGCUAUAUCUCCAUGGCUCUUAAUUUAAUUGUCUACCUUUACCUUUGAAUCCACUCAGGCAGAGCCGAGAGGGCAUUGUACGGGUAUCUUUGGCCCUCCUAUGAAAAGGUGUGCAGGUGAAAAGAGGCUGCAAAGAUCCUAAACCCAAUGAAUGAAGAGUCUGUUGCUGCUGCUCGUUGUCCCUGCGUGGCCGUUUGCUGGGCUGAGGGGGUAGGAGCGAGAGCCUCUCUCACCAAUGGUACAGUGCAUGUUACUUGUUUGCUGGUUUGCAUGGUGAGUGUUUUUUCUGGAAAGAUUGCUGACUCCCAACUCAUGGGAAAGACCCUAGGUGUUUGAGGCCUGGGAAGACCAUCAAACCACUCAGGGAGAAACGAGAGAGGGGGGUGGUUAUGGAGCAGAACUCUCUAUCUCCAAAAGGGGUGGCAGAGCCCCAGAAAGCAGCCAGGAUCCAGGUAUAAGACAAGUUUGUACCAUUCAUGUUCUCUGAGGCUGUGGCCUGGCGACAGACCAUUUGAAGUGGUGCAGGUGAUGCCCUCUGGAGGCAGGGAUCCUCACGCCUCUCUUCUAUACACGCCUGGGCUUUCUUCCCAGUGCCUUGGGGCUCCUGUGUCUGGAAUCGAGACCUCAACGAGGAGCAGUCUGUGUUCCCUUCCCUGCAGCAGCCAUGGCGGAGCACCUGGAGCUGCUGGCUGAGAUGCCAGCAGUGGCCAGGAUGAGCACCCAGGAGCGGCUGAAACAUGCACAGAAGCGCCGGACGCAGCAGCUGAAGAAAUGGGCACAGUUUGAAAAGGAGGCUCACGGCAAGAAGGCUAGAGCAGAAAAGAGAAAGAAAAACAGCAGCAAGGAGAAGCGAGUGCUGUUUCCGGAGAGCAUCAAGCUGCUGGAGGCAGCAUCUCGCAAUGAUGUGGAGGAAGUUCGCCAGUUCCUUCAGCGUGGCAUCAGCCCCAAUUUGUACAAUGAAGAUGGCCUCACUGCAUUGCACCAGUGCUGCAUCGACAACUUUGGGGACGUGGUUGCGCUGCUGCUGGAGGCCGGCGCGGAUGUCAAUGCCUGUGACAGUGAGCUGUGGACGCCGCUGCAUGCCGCCGCCACCUGCGGGCACCUGCACCUGGUGGAGCUGCUGAUUAACCAUGGUGCCAAUCUCCUGGCAGUUAAUGCAGAUGGGAACAUGCCGUAUGACCUCUGCGAGGACGAGGUGACACUGGACUACAUUGAAACGGCCAUGGCAGACCAGGGAAUAACUCAGGAGAAGAUUGAGGAGGCCCGAGCCGCCACGGAGAACAGCAUGGUGGAAGAUAUCCGGAAGCUGCUUCAGGCAGGUGCCGAUCUGAACACUCCACUUGACCAUAGUGCCACUCUGCUGCACAUUGCCUCAGCAAAUGGCUACCUGGAAGCUGCCGAGCUGCUGCUGGAACACAAGGCCAGCAUGAGCGCGAAGGACAAUGAUGGGUGGGAGCCUCUUCACGCCGCCGCCUGCUGGGGGCAGAUCCAUCUGGUGGAGCUGCUGGUGGCCCAUGGAGCUGAUCUCAAUAGCAAGUCUGUGCUGGACGAGACGCCCUUGGACGUGUGUGGUGACGAGGAGGUCCGGGCCAAGCUGCUGGAGCUGAAGCACAAGCAUGAUGCCAUCAUGAAGUCUCACGACAAGCACAAGUCGCUGCUGCAGCGACGCACCUCCAGCGCUGGCAGCCGAGGGAAGGUGGUGCGGCGGGUCAGCGUGACGGAGCGCACCAACCUCUAUCGCAAGGAGCAUGAGAAAGAGGCCAUUGUUUGGCAGCAGGUGGAGCACCGGGAGAACGAGGCCGAGCUUGAGGAUGAGGACAAGCAGACGGACGCUGAGCUCCAGCAGCACCUCCCUCAGGGCGCUGAAGCAGAAGUGGCAGGUCCAGGGGCCUUGGUGGGAGACAAGCAUCAGAAUCCGGGGCUGACCCAGAGAAAUGGAACUGCGGGCUCCUCUGCCCCCAGCCCCCCUAAACACCUCUACUCCAAGAGGCUGGACCGCAGCGUCUCCUACCAGCUGGCCACGCAAGAGGAGGUGUUGGCCGACCUGUGCAAGGAGAAGUCCCACCACACGCUAGCAGACCUCAAACGCCAGCGGGCAGCUGCCAAGCUCCAGCGACACCACCCACAGGACUACCCUCCCACCGAGGGUGAGGGCCCCCUCUCGCCUGGCCUCGCUGAGACCCUGCACAGCAGCAGUUACCCCCGCUCGGACCUGGAGCAGAAUUCCGUGUAUUGCACGGCAGCCAGUGGCGAUCCGCCUCUUCUGAAGCUGACAGCCCCGGCUGAGGAGACCCCUGCUGAGAAGAAGCGAUGCUGUAAGCUGAUGUGAGGUGCUGGCAAGAGAAGAUGUUCAUGGGGCACGUCCCCUCCCUGGCAUUGAUGGAUGGCGCUAAUGUCCCAUGGGGCUGCCUCUGCAACCCUGCAGAAGGAUGGGUUCUGGGAGGUGGUUUAUCUUCCAGGGACUCAUCCAUCUUCCAGACCCAGACAUCAAUCAGAGAGGUCGGGCUCCAAGUGCCCAUUGAGGGCUGCAUGGGUAGCAGGCUGGGAGCCAGAGGGCUGCACAAAUGGGAGCAGAAUGCAAUGACCUUCGUUGUCAGUACAGAGAUGUGUCCUGGAGCAUCUACAGCUCCCAGCAUGCAAUUUGCAAGCCCUUGCUUGGGUCAACCUGUAGAGCAUUGCAUGCUGGGACAUGUAGUCUCAGAGAGCUGGAUCUCUGUUGGACAUAGUGGUGUUGAAUGUUGUGUAAGACAUGCUGGGCCGCGUUUGGUCAGCUGGAGAGGCCCUCCAGGGGCGGCUGUUUGUCUGGGGUCUGUGUGUGGUUUCUAGGAAGGAAUGGAAAGCCUUUGGGAGCCCUCAGAGCACGGGGUACCAUGCAUACAGCACUGGGGGGCGAGGGGACGUCCCCAUGCCUGCCUGACACUAAAGCAAAUGGCAAUGAGGUGAGAACGGUUCUCUUGAUACAGAGUUGUAGCCCGGCAGUCCCCUCCUAGGCCUGGGCUGCACACAAGCUGUCCUGGGUUAACUAAUAUGCAUUUCAGACAAGCUGGAAAGCCGUGUAGGUCCCAGGCACGCCCGUUCGUGGUGGUUUACAACUGGCUUAUAUCCUACUCGCUGGCUUGGAGUCACUAAAGGCAGUGCUGGACUGCGCUUGGCCGUGCGCUGGGACAGGGUCAUCGGCUGUCAUUCCCAUCUUUUCUCCCAGCAGGGUUAAACUGACUCUGAAUUCAGCACGGCCCCAAACAGCCUUGCACCGAAACAGCCAAAGGUGCUGGCAGACGCUGAGUUCACCACUUCGGUGCCAGUCUGAGUGUGGGUCCACCCCAAACAACAGGGACAGAAGCUUGUUGUAAACCAGGAUGUGUCCACAUUGCACUGUUUGUUCAACUAUAUUAAUCUGAACUCCUGUGCCCUGUAUGGUGCGCCAUGCCAUGGUGCCCUGUGCCCUCCCCCCCAGAAGACACCUGGUGUGGGCUCUGUGCCCAGACCCUUGUGAGCUCCUGCCCUCAGCAAUAAAAUCGCUUCAGCAAAGUACCUCAGCCCAGGACCAACCACAGCCCGUGGAUGGAUUUGUGCACCUGUUGUGCUGACAGCUCUCCCAAUGAAACGCAGCCUGCGAGUGGGACGGGGGAGCUGGUUUCUGGCCCCUCAGUCCAUCUGCUGGGGGGAGCUGUGGGGGGCUGAUUAAUCAGUAAUGAUCUUUAGCCAUCCCUGGGGCCUCGGAGCAGCGCCCUAAAUGGGAGCAGCCUUGGACAGCAUCCCCCUGCUCCCCAUUGCUUACGCGGGGCUCGAACAGGGCAUGCCAAUGGCACUCUUCUCAUCUCCUGUUCUCUGCAGAGAGGCCAGCUCACUGUGUGUCCCCUCCCUGCGCAGGUCGGACAUGGGUUUUUUUUUAUCAUCCCGCUGCAUGGGGCUCCAAGGAGCCUUGUGUUGAGCCCCACACCUCCACCCAAGGGCAGCAUUGGCAGCUUCUCAGGUGUCCGAGGGCUACCCCAGCUUCACGCCCUUGUUACCCUCAGGGGUCCAGUCCCAGUGUGCCAAGUCCCAUGUGAGCUCAGCAAAAGCCCCUUUGGCCUACUGUGGAGGAUGGCUUGCUGGAACUCGGAGGGCUGUCCCUCUCUGUUGAUGAUUGGGGGCUGUGGCAGACUUCUGCUGAGCAUGGGGCCUCAGGCUCCAUCUUCUCAGCCUGCCAGGUGUUGCUGAGGCACCAGGCUGUACGAUUAGAACUUCAGGAGGCAGGGAGUGGAAGUGGAAGAGCUUCAGCUAGAAACAUUCUCGCCUUUCAGCCACAAUAAGGAACACACUGCUCCCUGGGAUCCAGCCGGCUGGAGGUGGACGUCCCUCUGGUGGGUGGCUCUCGUGGUUUGCAAUAUCUCAUCCCCUAGAUGGGGUUGUCACCCACUCACUUAUUUCUCUCUGCGCCAUUGCAUCCAGCCGUGGCUGUUCAGACCCACGCGCUAGGCCUGUUGUCCCUCUGUUCUUCACCACCCCUCAGGGGCUGAGAAACAUCAGCCAGCCCCAUCUCACCAGCCGAAGAUCAGUCCUUGCAUGAGUGCCGGAGCAGCAGAACCCAGUGCUGCUCACUGGCUGGGGGAAAUCAGGUGACCUUCAACCCCACCUGUGAAUCCUCUGGGGAACCCCCUUAAGCUCUGACCCUCCAGCUUGAAGAGCGCAGCUCUAGGCUGAACUUGUAUUGACCUUGGGGCCAGUGAAUCUUCCCUUCUGCAAUGGUUCUGCUCUGAGAGCCUCCUGCCUGCCUUGGGAGAUACAACUGCAGGGAGCUCUGGGCCUUGUGCUCGCCAGCGAGGGCGGCUGCUGUAAAAUCCCCUGCCAGGACUGGACUCUCCAUGGUGCAUUUGUGCAGUGUUGCUGCACGCGUUUUGUAUGGAGCACUCUCCUUUGGACCACAGUAUUUCCACGGAAUCCUGUAGCGCUGGUUCCAGCCCCUCGAGCCGCUGAGCCGCUGGGGUGGGAGGCACUGAUUUUAUACUUGGACACCCACUUCCUGGCUCUCACCAGGUUUUGAUUUGUAGCUCCUGUUGUCUCUUUAUUUCCUUUCCACAAUAAACCAGCAUUGGACAAUGAA